rnacentral:rRNA from 1 species
UACGUAGGUGGCAAGCGUUGUCCGGAUUUAUUGGGUUUAAAGGGUGCGUAGGCGGCCCUGUAAGUCAGUGCUGAAAUACCCCGGCUUAACCGGGGGGGUGGCAUUGAUACUGCAGGGCUUGAGUACAGAUGAGGUAGGCGGAAUUGACGGUGUAGCGGUGAAAUGCAUAGAUAUCGUCAAGAACACCGAUAGCGAAGGCAGCUUACUGGGCUGUAAACUGACGCUGAUGCACGAAAGUGUGGGGAUCAAACAGG